UACGCAUUUCUUAAAUAUUUCUGCAAGAAAAUCCUAGUAAAAGACAUGAGCUCAAUUGCUUAGAACUUUCUCUUUUACAUCCUUUCUAGCUUGUUCUCAAAAUUCUUUUAUUUUCUUUUGUGAGUUUUUAAACUUUAUGUUUGUGCGUGUGUUUGCUAAAUAUGUCUCUACCAUCUUUACUCAUUGAGAUCAUCAUCUCCCUCUUGCUUCUCCGUGCUAGAGCAAUAACUAAGUUCCUUGUUUCAUGCAAAUCUUUUGUGUGUCAUGAUAACAGUCAAGAUUUCAUCCAGAAACAUCUUGAGACCUCUGUCGCAACAGGUGCUAUGACAUCAAAUCCAGUUGAUAAAUCAAGCAGAAACAAGUUGCAUUUAUCCAAGCUGCAGGUUUAGCAAUUCUAUGUAUCCUCUACAACUAUGUAACCAUGUAGUCGUGUUUCUUUUGUUGCAGAUUAUGUAUAGCCUCUGUGUGUAUCGUAUACUACUUUCCUUCUCAAGACAGCUUUAGUUGAAAUUACAGCAAGCAUUUCUGUAUUACAAACUCCUGCAUAUUAGUACUAUCAUCACACAAUUUGUUAUGUUGUGUGACUACUGUGUGUCUGAAUUCACACUCUGAUCAAUCUGGUUCUCUAGGUCAAUAUGCUGAAUAUCCAAAUUGUGGCAUAUUGCUUUUAUCACUGUUAAGUA